GGUUGUAUAGUGUAGCGGUUAUCACCUUGGAUUCUGAAUUUCCAGUAACCCCGGUUCGAUUCCGGGUACGACCU
rnacentral:tRNA from 1 species